rnacentral:lncRNA from 1 species
GCAGUCUUUCCUGAUCCACGGGGUCCAAUAAUGAGGGCAGAAUUACUUUCUCCACAAACUGUAGUUUGCUUCAGCAGUUCCAGCAGAUGCUUGUACUGCUGAUCAACCCCAAACAAUUUCCCCAUAGCACGAUGGUGACACAGUCUUUCACGUAACAUUUUCUGCACCUGCGAGAUGCAUUCCCCAUCUGUACCACUGCUUUCCUUUAACUUCCGUUUAUUCAUUGCAGAAGAUUCUAUCUGAGGCGACGCCGUCAACCGCCGCCUUCGCGCGCGCGCGCGCCCCUCCCGC